AACAAACGCUGGCGGCGUGCCUAACACAUGCAAGUCGUACGAGAAAGGGUCCUUCGGGGCCUGAGUAAAGUGGCGCACGGGUGAGUAACGCGUGGAUAAUCUGCCCUUCAGUUGGGAAUAACUCAUCGAAAGGUGGGCUAAUACCGAAUAAUGCUGUGAGACCUCGGUUGAUCAGCCAAAGAGAGCCUCUGCUUGCAAGCCCUCGCUGAAGGAUGAGUCCGCGUACCAUUAGCUAGUUGGUAGGGUAAUGGCCUACCAAGGCGACGAUGGUUAGCUGGUCUGAGAGGAUGAGCAGCCACACUGGAACUGAGACACGGGCCAGACUCCUACGGGAGGCAGCAGUGAGGAAUCUUGCGCAAUGGGGGCAACCCUGACGCAGCAACGCCGCGUGAGGGAGGAAGGUCUUCGGAUCGUAAAGCUCUGUCGGAUGGAAAGAACCGCAUAGGGGUAAACAGCCCCUGUGUCUGACGGUACCAUCAAAGGAAGCACCGGCUAACUCCGUGCCAGCCGCCGCAGUAACAC
rnacentral:rRNA from 1 species